GAUGAACGCUGGCGGCGUGCCUAACACAUGCAAGUCGAGCGAUGAGACUCAUUAGUUUUCUUCGGAACGAAAAUGACUGGCGUAGUGGCAAACGGGUGAGAAACUCGUGAGUAACCUGCCUUACACACGGGGAUAGCCACCGGAAACGGAGAAUAAUACUGAAUGAAACCAGACAAUCGCAAGAUAAGCUGGUCAUGAUACUUAGAGGUGUAUGCUGGACUCGCGCCUGAUUAGCUAGUUGGUGAGCUAACGGAGCACCAAGGCAACGAUCAGUAGCCGGCCUGAGAGGGUGAUCUGCCACACUGGAACUGAGACACGGUCCAGACUCCUACGGGAGGCAGCAGUAGGGAAUCUUCCGCAAUGGGCGAAAGCCUGACGGAGCAACGCCGCGUGAGUGAUUAAGGUCUUCGGAUCGUAAAACUCUGUUAUUAGGGAAGAACAAAUGUGUAAGUAACUAUGCACGUCUUGACGGUACCUAAUCAGAAAGCCACGGCUAACUACGUG
rnacentral:rRNA from 1 species